rnacentral:lncRNA from 1 species
CAGGCUUACCCCAGUCAUUUCAUUACCUUCACAACAAUGUGAUCCAGCAUUUGAUGCGGCUGAAAUUUUUAGACCCUACAUUUCACAUUUUGGUAAGGAUUUCAGGGCAUUUUCAAUUGAGAGAAGAAAACUAAAGCCCGGAGAAGGAAGACAAAUGUAAGAUAAUUUGAAUCUGCUGACUCAUCAGUGCAUGAAGUGGUUCCUUGGUGGAGAGGGAAGAAGAUUGGGUUUACAGGGGAAGGAAGGAUGGAAUCCUGGCCUUCACAUUUCAAGUUUCUAGAACAGGCAUUCACAAAAGAGUGAGAAGCAGAAAAGGCAUAAAAGAAGACCAUCUGAGCAAGAAGAAAGCCAUCCUACUGGCUUAUUUCAUAAGCAAUGCACAACAUCUGGAGAAGUGGUGGCAUCAUCGGAACAGCCCUAUUAACAGAAGAUAGGAACCCAAGGAGGUGAAGGUGGAAUAGACAAGAUCACCAGAGAAAGAGAGUCAGAACUUCAUGUGAGAUCAAGGGAUGGAGCAGGAGGAGAUUACUUCAGUUCUUGGAAUGAAUUGUUCUUUCAGACAAGAAGCACACCUUAAACUCAAAUCGAGAAAAAUAUUUCCUAUAGAAGAAACUCAUAAACUCCAUAUUCUCUUGACAAUCCAUCUGGGCCACCCACCUGAUCAUGAUUGCCUACACAGUGGCAGAAUGAUGGCAUUUAGAAGGUUUUUUUUCUUUAACUAUGUAACUGAAGGACAGCAGGACCGUUUAAGCUCAGAUCUUCUCCGUGUUAAUGAAGCAGGAACGAGGCUCUCCUCACACACUCAAACAUCUCCACAGAGGAUUUUCUUGCAGGAGAUUAGUGCUGGUGACACUCUUCACAUUGAUAAUAAACUAAGAUUAUGCGUUACUUCUCUUUGAUUUUCCUUGCCAUAUUAUGAUAAUCGUUAUGAUGCUAAUUAGC